UUUCCCAAUUUCCAGGAUAAUUAUUGCUGCCUUCCAGACACAGUUUUUAGCCCGUAAGUUACGACUUCAAGUCACAAUUCACGACUUGGUAACGUUCCAGGCAAAGUCACCACAAACCCUUUCAGCGGCUACCUAACGUUGACGUUAGCUACCGCUAGCUGAUACUAGCAAUUUCUAGUUGCCGACAUAUUUUCGGCUUCAUUUAAUAAUCAAAACC